rnacentral:rRNA from 1 species
GACGAACGCUGGCGGCGUGCCUAAUACAUGCAAGUCGAACGCUUCUUUCCUCCCGAGUGCUUGCACUCAAUUGGAAAGAGGAGUGGCGGACGGGUGAGUAACACGUGGGUAACCUACCCAUCAGAGGGGGAUAACACUUGGAAACAGGUGCUAAUACCGCAUAACAGUUUAUGCCGCAUGGCAUAAGAGUGAAAGGCGCUUUCGGGUGUCGUUGAUGGAUGGACCCGCGGUGCAUUAGCUAGUUGGUGAGGUAACGGCUCACCAAGGCCACGAUGCAUAGCCAACCUGAGAGGGUGAUCGGCCACACUGGGACUGAGACACGGCCCAGACUCCUACGGGAGGCAGCAGUAGGGAAUCUUCGGCAAUGGACGAAAGUCUGACCGAGCAACGCCGCGUGAGUGAAGAAGGUUUUCGGAUCGUAAAACUCUGUUGUUAGAGAAGAACAAGGACGUUAGUAACUGAACGUCCCCUGACGGUAUCUAACCAGAAAGCCACGGCUAACUACGUG